CGGAUUGUAGUCUGCAACUCGACUACAUGAAGCUGGAAUCGCUAGUAAUCGCGGAUCAGAAUGCCGCGGUGAAUACGUUCCCGGGUCUUGUACACACCGCCCGUCACACCAUGGGAGUCGGAAAUGCCCGAAGUCUGUGACCGAACCGAAAGGAAGGAGCAGCCGAAGGCAGGUCGGAUGACUGGGGUGAAGUCGUAACAAGGUAAC
rnacentral:rRNA from 1 species